rnacentral:rRNA from 1 species
GACGAACGCUGGCGGCGUGCUUAACACAUGCAAGUGGAGCGACGAACCAGGGCUUGCCCUGGGGCAAAGCCGCGAACGGGUGAGUAACACGUGGGUAACCUGCCCCGAUGACCGGGACAACCCGAGGAAACUCGGGCUAAUACCGGAUGAGCUCCUACCACAUGAGUGGUUUGAGGAAAGGAAGCUUCGGCCUCCGCAUCGGGAUGGGCCCGCGGCCCAUUAGCUUGUUGGUGAGGUAACGGCCCACCAAGGCUUCGAUGGGUAGCUGGUCUGAGAGGACGAUCAGCCACACUGGGACUGAGACACGGUCCAGACACCUACGGGUGGCAGCAGUCGAGAAUUUUUCUCAAUGGGGGCAACCCUGAAGGAGCGACGCCGCGUGGAGGAUGAAGGCUUUCGGGUGUAACUCCUGUCAUUUGGGAACAAGUUACACACGUUAACUGCGUGGUAUGAUAGUACCAGAAGAGGAAGAGACGGCUAACUCUGU